CUUUCAUGUUCGCUAGCUGGUCAGGCAAACGCCGCGGGGAACUAAACUGUAAACCAAUCAAAACUUUUGUACUAUUCAUGGUACUAUCUACAAUCACGUUAUCCGUAACUAAUAUAGUAGACACCUGGGAAUGAAGAGUUCGACAGAGAUCUCCGUCUGACGAACUGCUAUCAGAGAUUAACCAAGUGCUAUUCACCAAGCAUGGACUGAUUCACUCACCUGUGAGGAGAACCAUCCUACUGCCGUCACUGUUUACAUUUUGGGACCACAUAUGCAUUUGCCUGUUGUCUUUUCUUUGUGGGUUCUAUCUUACACAGUCUAGUGCAUUUUAGAGUUGAAGAACACCAACUACAGAUACAAGUGCUUGUUUGAGCAUCUUGAAGACUAAAUUCAAUGUAGAAUCAGUGUAAUAGAUGACAGAUUAUUUUACUAUUGUAACAAGUAGUGGUGAGAAUUCUAUUGUCCUCGUCAGGAGCCCAGACCUUUGCCAUAGAUGGUAGAGUUCUCGUCUCUGGACCACAAGCUUCCGUCAGCUACAUUGGUGACCAGAGUGGGAUCCUUUUGAUACGCCUAUGGGGCCUGGACACACAAAUGCUCCUAGAGAGAAGGUGGAAUACUGAGGCAUGCGUUGAUGACAGUUCUACAGUCUCCAUCAGAGGCCCAUGCUUUUGGCACAGGUGGUAAAGCUCUCAUUUCUGGCCUGCAAUAUUGUAAAAUUGUGCCCUCCACAGCAAUUGAUAUACAUUCAUUAGUAGGUUACGCAAUAUUUAUGUAGCCAGGUGGUAAAAGCGCAUAGCUGUAUUAAUUUAUAUCCACUAGAUGGCACCGUCCCUUUAAGAGAUUAAUUAACCAGGUGUGCCAGCGGUUAUGGGAUUGCGCAGUGUGUAAGAGAGUGGAUCCAACGUUACUUUAGAUGGAUUGACAUGAGGAUGUUAGCUUCUUGCUAGCUGAAUACCAGCGCUCUCAGAACCACGUUGUGAAGUUGAUAUAACAUUAUUUGAAGCUGCAGUAUGGGUGAGAUGAGGAUCUACUGUUCCAUGUGAGGUUAGGGCAUCACCUGGACAGUGUGUUUAAAGCAGAGCCACUACAAUUUAUUUACAUUU